CACAUGCAAGUCGAACGAGAAAGUGGAGCAAUCCAUGAGUACAGUGGCGUACGGGUGAGUAACACGUGACUAACCUACCCUCGAGUGGGGAAUAACUUCGGGAAACCGAGGCUAAUACCGCAUAACAUCUACGGAUCAAAUGCGUAAGCAGCUUGAGGAGGGGGUCGCGGCUGAUUAGCUAGUUGGCGGGGUAAUGGCCCACCAAGGCAGUGAUCAGUAGCCGGCCUGAGAGGGCGCACGGCCACACUGGAACUGAAACACGGUCCAGACUCCUACGGGAGGCAGCAGUGGGGAAUUUUGCGCAAUGGGGGAAACCCUGACGCAGCAACGCCGCGUGGAGGAUGAAGCCCUUUGGGGUGUAAACUCCUUUCGAUCGGGACGAUUAUGACGGUACCGGAUGAAGAAGCACCGGCUAACUCUGUGCCAGCAGCCGCGGUAAUACAGAGGGUGCAAGCGUUGUUCGGAAUUAUUGGGCGUAAAGGGUGCGUANGCGGUGCGGUAAGUCUUCUGUGAAACCUCCGGGCUUAACUCGGAGCCUGCAGAGGAAACUGCCGUGCUGGAGUAUGG
rnacentral:rRNA from 1 species